rnacentral:misc_RNA from 1 species
UUUCCGUAGGUGAACCUGCGGAAGGAUCAUUAACGAUGGUUGUUCUCCUGUGCUGGCUUUGCAAGUGCACGUUGAACUUAUCUAUACCCCUGUGCACCUUUGGCCUCUGCGUUUCGGCGCGAGGAUUUACACACACUCGAAUGUAAUGAAAUCUAUGUCGUGCGCAAGCACUAAUGUACAACUUUCAACAACGGAUCUCUUGGCUCUCGCAUCGAUGAAGAACGCAGC